GCGAGUGAAGCGGCAAAAGCUCAAAUUUGGAACCGCUUGCGGGUUGUAAUUUGAAGGAGUGGGCUGGGACGGGCGCCGCCUAUGUUCCUUGGAACAGGACGUCACAGAGGGUGAGAAUCCCGUGUGGCGGCGUACCCCGACCAUGCAGCGUGCUCCGACGAGUCGAGUUGUUUGGGAAUGCAGCUCUAAGUGGGUGGUAAAUUCCAUCUAAAGCUAAAUACUGGCGAGAGACCGAUAGCGAACAAGUACAGUGAUGGAAAGAUGAAAAGAACUCUGAAGAGAGAGUGAAACAGUACGUGAAAUUGUUGAAAGGGAAGGGCAUGGGGAUAGACUGAGCAAUCGGGAAGGAAGCGCUAGCGGGGCGGGACAAUUGCGCGGGAACGUGGCUUUCGAGUGUUAUAGCCCGCGCGGAUGCCGUCUUGUUGGCGUUUGCUUCCAUAAUGUCCCUAUGCCGCCC
rnacentral:rRNA from 3 species